rnacentral:misc_RNA from 1 species
GUGGGAAAUCUUCAGGAGUUUUGUGAUAAGCCACACACAUGGACCAGAGUAUCAUGAGAGUUGGUUCUGCACAUUUUUCAGGUUAAUGGGGCUGGUGCUCCCUGGAGUUUCUGCGCAUAGUCCUAUAGAUUAUGUCAACUCCGUCAGGCUUGGAAAGGAGCGUACGUUUCCAUUGUCCACUUUGAAAAGCUUCGCUCGCAAAUCAUAAUUAAGAAGGUUCGCAAUCUUCUUCCUCAUCAUAAUAAUAA